rnacentral:rRNA from 1 species
UACGUAGGGUGCAAGCGUUAUCCGGAUUCACUGGGUUUAAAGGGUGCGUAGGUGGGCUGGUAAGUCAGCGGUGAAAUCUCCAGGCUUAACUUGGAAACUGCCAUUGAUACUAUCAGUCUUGAAUACCGUGGAGGUCAGCGGAAUAUGUCAUGUAGCGGUGAAAUGCUUAGAUAUGACAUAGAACACCAAUUGCGAAGGCAGCUGGCUACACGAAUAUUGACACUGAUGCACGAAAGCGUGGGGAUCAAACAGG